rnacentral:lncRNA from 1 species
UUGGAAGAGAGGUUUUCUUUAAGAAGUGUAGCCUAUUGAAUAGAAUGUGGAAGACAUGACUAAUUAUAAGUUAGAUAUUUUCAUCCAACUCAGUGAAAAUGAAAGCUUUUUUAUGUGAUUUCUUUUCUUUCAUCCUCAUUUUCUCAAAAUUCAGCAGAGGGAAUCAAUAAUCUUCCCCUCCUUUUCUUACUGGAAUAUGUACUAGUAGAUCUGAAAACACUUUU